rnacentral:tRNA from 1 species
GGCCGGGUAGCUCAGUCGGUAGAGCAGAGGACUGAAAAUCCUUGUGUCGGCGGUUCGAUUCCGCCCCCGGCCACCA